UACGGAAGGCAGCAGUGGGGAAUAUUGCACAAUGGGCGAAAGCCUGAUGCAGCUAUGCCGCGUGUAUGAAGAAGGCCUUAGGGUUGUAAAGUACUUUCAUCGGGGAGGAAAAACAAAACUAAUAAUUUUAUUUCUUGACGUUACCCGAAAAAGAAGCACCGGCUAACUCCGUGCCAGCAGCCGCGGUAAUACGGAGGGUGCUAGCGUUAAUCAGAAUUACUGGGCGUAAAGAGCACGUAGGUGGUUUUUUUAAGUCAGAUGUGAAAUCCCUGGGCUUAACCUAGGAACUGCAUUUUGAAACUGGAAAUACUAGAGUAUCGUAGAGGGAGGUAGAAUUCUAGGUGUAGCGGUGAAAUGCGUAGAUAUCUGGAGGAAUACCUGUGGCGAAAGCGGCCUCCUAAACGAAUACUGACACUGAGGUGCGAAAGCGUGGGGAGCAAACAGGGAUUAGAUACC
rnacentral:rRNA from 1 species